rnacentral:rRNA from 1 species
ACUCCUACGGGAGGCAGCAGUGGGGAAUAUUGGACAAUGGGCGGAAGCCUGAUCCAGCAACGCCGCGUGAGGGAUGACGGCCUUCGGGUUGUAAACCUCUUUCAGUAUCGACGAAGGCCCGGUUGAUGGGUUUGACGGUAGGUACAGAAGAAGCACCGGCCAACUACGUGCCAGCAGCCGCGGUAAUACGGAGGGUGCGAGCGUUAAUCGGAAUUACUGGGCGUAAAGCGCAUGCAGGUGGUUUGUUAAGUCAGAUGUGAAAGCCCGGGGCUCAACCUCGGAACUGCAUUUGAAACUGGCAGACUAGAGUACUGUAGAGGGGGUGAGAAAUUUCAGGUGUAGCGGUGAAAUGCGUAGAGAUCUGAAGGAAUACCGGUGGCGAAGGCGGCCCCUCGGACAGAUACUGACACUCCAGAUGCGAAAGCGUGGGGGAGCAAACAGGAUU